CCAGACUCCUACGGGAGGCAGCAGUGAGGAAUAUUGGUCAAUGGGCGCGAGCCUGAACCAGCCAAGUCGCGUGAGGGAAGACGGUCCUAUGGAUUGUAAACCUCUUUUGUCGGGGAGCAAAAGACGCCACGCGUGGCGUUCCGAGAGUACCCGAAGAAAAAGCAUCGGCUAACUCCGUGCCAGCAGCCGCGGUAAUACGGAGGAUGCGAGCGUUAUCCGGAUUUAUUGGGUUUAAAGGGUGCGCAGGCGGGCCUUUAAGCCGGCGGUGAAAUCGCGGGGCUCAACGCCGUCGAGCCGUUGAAACUGGCGUUCUUGAGUGGGCGAGAAGUAUGCGGAAUGCGUGGUGUAGCGGUGAAAUGCAUAGAUAUCACGCAGAACUCCGAUUGCGAAGGCAGCAUACCGGCGCCCUACUGACGCUGAGGCACGAAAGCGUGGGUAUCGAACAGGAUUAGAUACCCGGGUAGG
rnacentral:rRNA from 1 species